rnacentral:piRNA from 1 species
UGGAAAGGAGUCUUAUCUCAGAUCCAAGGC